GGAUGAAUAUUGGACAAUGGGGGAAACCCUGAUCCAGCAAUGCCGCGUGUGUGAAGAAGGCCUGCGGGUUGUAAAGCACUUUCGGCAGGAAAGAAAAGUCAUGCGCCAAUACCGCAUGACCUUGACGUUACCUGCAAAAGAAGCACCGGCUAACUCCGUGCCAGCAGCCGCGGUAAUACGGAGGGUGCAAGCGUUAAUCGGAAUUACUGGGCGUAAAGCGCACGUAGGCGGGCAAUUAAGUCGGAUGUGA
rnacentral:rRNA from 1 species